CCGGGGUACUCGGCAUAGACGAUGCAGCUGAUGGUUUUGGGUAGCGUGCUGCCAAAUGUGACCUCCAAUCUAACGUUUCCUUGUUUCAGUAAGGUACGUACUGAGGUGUAUCAAAUAUUUGACUCCAGCUUGCCACUUUCUGAGAUAGUACCAUUCGAAGUAGAUUUUCCUUCUCACCGUCAACGAUGGAUUCACUGACGAGAUCACAGUGCUCUACCCAUAGAAAGCGACUGAACACAUCAAUGACCAUCAACAAGUACCGUAUGCCUGAGUUGCUUUUGGCGAGUGAUGUCAUGUCCAAUAAAUCGGUGUCAUAUUGUUCAAACGGUUCUCCGACUUCUACACGCGCGCGUUUAAAGGAACGUUUUACCGGCUUUUGUAAACUGUAGUCGUCGAGACUUUGAAUGUAGCGUCUGAUUUUGUGUAAGCCUGGAGAGUGAAAUCCUUGUGAUUUGAGUAUUUGAUAUACUUUUGUUGGACCUAAGAAUGUUCCACCGUUAUUAAAGUUAUAAUAAAUGUCAUCCACUCUCUGUUUUUC